rnacentral:rRNA from 1 species
GACGUAGGGGGCGAGCGUUGUCCGGAAUUACUGGGCGUAAAGAGCACGUAGGCGGGAACUUAAGUCAGGUGUGAAAGACCGUGGCUCAACCACGGGGUUGCAUUUGAAACUGAGUUUCUUGAGGGCAGGAGAGGAAAGCAGAAUUCCAGGUGUAGCGGCGAAAUGCGUAGAGAUGUGGAGGAACACCAGUGGCGAAGGCGACUCUCUAGUCUGUAUCUGACGCUGAGGUGCAAAAGCGUGGGUAGCAAACAGGAUUAGAUACCCCCGUA